GAUGAACGCUGGCGGCGUGCUUAACACAUGCAAGUCGAACGGAAAGGCCCUGCUUUUGCUGGGUUCUCGAUUGGCGAGCGGGUGUGUAACACGUGUGUAACCUGUCCUUGACUUUGGGAUAACUUCUGGAAACUGGGGCUAAUAUCGCGUAGGAGCUCUUGCUGCACGGUGGGGGUUGGUAAGUUUCGGCGGUUGGGGAUGGACUCGCGGGUUAUCAGCUGGUUGGUGUGGUAGUGGCUUACCAAGGCUACGAAGGGUAGCCGGCGUGAGAGGGUGACCGGCCACAAUGGGACUGAGGGACGGCCCAGAAGCCUACGGGAGGCAGCAGUGGGGAAUAUUGCAGAAUGGGGGGAAGCCUGAUGCAGCAACGCCGCGUGCGGGAUGCCCGCCUUCGGGUUGUAAACCGCUUUCGCCGGUGACGAAGCGUGAGUGACGGUAAUGGGUAAAGAAGCACCGGCUAACUACGUG
rnacentral:rRNA from 1 species